rnacentral:rRNA from 1 species
CCUACGGGUGGCUGCAGCGGGGAAUAUUGGACAAUGGGCGAAAGCCUGAUCCAGCCAUGCCGCGUGUGUGAAGAAGGCCUUCGGGUUGUAAAGCACUUUCAGUGGGGAAGAAAGCCUUGGGGCUAAUACCCUCGAGGAAGGACAUCACCCACAGAAGAAGCACCGGCUAACUCCGUGCCAGCAGCCGCGGUAAUACGGAGGGUGCGAGCGUUAAUCGGAAUUACUGGGCGUAAAGCGCGCGUAGGCGGUCUGAUAAGCCGGUUGUGAAAGCCCCGGGCUCAACCUGGGAACGGCAUCCGGAACUGUCAGGCUAGAGUGCAGGAGAGGAAGGUAGAAUUCCCGGUGUAGAGGUGAAAUGCGUAGAGAUCGGGAGGAAUACCAGUGGCGAAGGCGGCCUUCUGGACUGACACUGACGCUGAGGUGCGAAAGCGUGGGUAGCAACCAGGAUUAGAUACCCGUUAGUC